CUGUUUGUUUUUUGUACAAAACAGUAGAUCAAGCCUGCGACAAAGCAGCGCCACAUGAAAAAAAUUGCAACUAUUGCCCUCGCUCCGUUUACUUACUAAAAGUAAUAGGUAGUAUGUAGGCCGGCUAAUUUCCCGCAGUUGGGAAA
rnacentral:sRNA from 1 species